rnacentral:rRNA from 1 species
AACGUAGGUGGCGAGCGUUAUCCGGAUUUACUGGGCGUAAAGCGUGUGCAGGCGGGGAGGUAAGUGGGGUAUGAAAUCGCCCAGCUUAACUGGGCAAGGUUAUGCCAGACUGUCACUCUAGAGUGCGAGAGAGGGGCGUGGAAUUCCGGGUGUAGUGGUGAAAUGCGUAGAGAUCCGGAGGAACCCCAGAGGCGAAGGCGGCGCCCUGGCUCGCAACUGACGCUCAGACACGACAGCAUGGGGAGCGAACGGG